rnacentral:rRNA from 1 species
GACGGAACUUAAGGGCUUGCUCUUAAGUUUAGUGGCGAACGGGUGAGUAAUAUAUCGGAACGUAUCCAAUAAUGGGGGAUAACUAAUCGAAAGGUUGGCUAAUACCGCAUACGCCCUACGGGGGAAAGCAGGGGAUCUUCGGACCUUGCGUUAAUGGAGCGGCCGAUAUCUGAUUAGCUAGUUGGUGAGGUAAAGGCUCACCAAGGCGACGAUCAGUAGCUGGUCUGAGAGGACGACCAGCCACACUGGAACUGAGACACGGUCCAGACUCCUACGGGAGGCAGCAGUGGGGAAUUUUGGACAAUGGGCGAAAGCCUGAUCCAGCCAUUCCGCGUGAGUGAAGAAGGCCUUCGGGUUGUAAAGCUCUUUCGCAAGGGAAGAAAGCUUAUAUUCUAAUAAAGUAUGAGGAUGACGGUACCUUGAUAAGAAGCACCGGCUAACUACGUGCCAGCAGCCGCGGUAAUACGUAGGGUGCGAGCGUUAAUCGGAAUUACUGGGCGUAAAGCGUGCGCAGGCGGUUUUGAAAGUCAGAUGUGAAAUCCCCGAGCUCAACUUGGGAACUGCGUUUGAAACUCCAAAGCUAGAGUAUAGGAGAGGGGGGUAGAAUUCCACGUGUAGCAGUGAAAUGCGUAGAGAUGUGGAGGAAUACCAAUGGCGAAGGCAGCCCCCCUGGCCUAAUACUGACGCUCAUGCACGAAAGCGUGGGGAGCAAACAGGAUUAGAUACCCUGGUAGUCCACGCCCUAAACGAUGUCUACUAGUUGUUGGUGGAGUAAAAUCCAUUAGUAACGCAGCUAACGCGUGAAGUAGACCGCCUGGGGAGUACGGUC